rnacentral:rRNA from 1 species
AUUGAACGCUGGCGGCAGGCCUAACACAUGCAAGUCGAGCGGAUGAAGGGAGCUUGCUCCCGGAUUCAGCGGCGGACGGGUGAGUAAUGCCUAGGAAUCUGCCUGGUAGUGGGGGAUAACGUCCGGAAACGGGCGCUAAUACCGCAUCCGUCCUGAGGGAGAAAGUGGGGGAUCUUCGGACAUCACGCUAUCAGAUGACCCUAGGUCGGAUUAGCUAGUUGGUGGGGUAAAGGCCUACCAAGGCGACGAUCCGUAACUGGUCUGAGAGGAUGAUCAGUCACACUGGAACUGAGACACGGUCCAGACUCCUACGGGAGGCAGCAGUGGGGAAUAUUGGACAAUGGGCGAAAGCCUGAUCCAGCCAUGCCGCGUGUGUGAAGAAGGUCUUCGGAUUGUAAAGCACUUUAAGUUGGGAGGAAGGGCAGUAAGUUAAUACCUUGCUGUUUUGACGUUACCAACAGAAUAAGCACCGGCUAACUUCGUG